rnacentral:rRNA from 1 species
UACGUAGGGUGCGAGCGUUGUCCGGAAUUACUGGGCGUAAAGAGCUCGUAGGUGGUUUGUCGCGUUGUCCGUGAAAACUCACAGCUCAACUGUGGGCGUGCGGGCGAUACGGGCAGACUGGAGUACUGCAGGGGAGACUGGAAUUCCUGGUGUAGCGGUGGAAUGCGCAGAUAUCAGGAGGAACACCGGUGGCGAAGGCGGCUCUCUAGUACGGUACUGACGCUGAGACGCGAAAGCGUGGGGAGCGAACAGG